UGCACAGAAGCAAAAAUCCAAAAACUUUGUCACUGUCCAACUCCUUAUGGACCUGCCUGCAGGCUGUUCCAUAUAUAGUGUCAGCACAGAUAAAACCACUUUGGCCCACUGACAGAAAGUAAUCUUUACUGAGCUGAUUUCACUGGUGGGCUCAGCAAACCAAUGUGUGAACAGUGCGUGCCUGCCUGGGUGUUACACUCAUGCAGUGUAUUCCCUUCUUUUUUUCAGGGAUACACCUUCUACUUGAUAUCCUCUGAAGUCUGACGUGAUCCGGCGGGGCUCAGCGGUGAAAACGCUGACGAGCUAACUGUUUAAACCAAGAACAACAACAACAACAUGCGGCCUAAUCCUCUUAUCUGCACUGGGACUGUCCAUCUGUCAUCCCGUUUGCUCUGCUCCAACACGGGCUCCUCUCCUCUUUAUCCAUCCACAUGACAAGAAAGAGGAUGAGGGGAAGGAAAAAACAUAAAGAGGAAGUGGGCUGUUAGCAGAACAGAGAAGGGCGAUGGCGUAGGAUGAGUCACAAUAAUGCUUCAAUUAAAAAAAAAAAAAAAAAGAGCUUCAACAGGUUUGGUGUUUCCCAGCUGGCAAUGACAGAAUGGAAGAGUCGAGACGGGGCCAAGAUAAAGAGCAGAUAUUUUGAUGGAUGACAAAGUGCAGGAGAAGAAUUAGUGUGUGUGUGUGUGUGUGUGUGUGUGGCUCUUUGAUGUGUUGUUUACAGAAAGGGAGCCCCGAGCUCCUGUUUGACAGUCGCUCCAUUUGAUGUACAAAUCUGUGCCUCCUCCGAGCCGACUCCCACGGGAAUCAGAGCGGCGGCAGACGCGUUUCUUCUGUCCGCCAGCCUCAUUGUGUGAGCCCAAUAAGUUAUUUACACACACCCUGAAAUGACAGGAUGAGCGAACACAAAUAGCGACGAGCAAAUUAUUGUAGCAUUAUGUGAAAUAAACUGCUGCUGCCGAUUUUAAGCUGGCAGAGCAAUAGAUUUAUUGACAAAACGACAGGCCACUCAAAAAAUGUUCACUCCAGAACAAUAGAGUCAAACAUGCUGCACGUUACAUUUUGUCUUAUACAGCUGAAGCAAAUUUAUUGUCACGGAAAAGUGUGAAAAUGUUUGGUCUAAGCAGUGAUUUUCUCUUUUAACCAUAUGCAAAUAAGUUUCUGUUUUCUGAGCGGUACAGUUGCUUGUAGAACCUUUUUAUUCCUGUAUAAAUAACUAUGCAAUGGUGAUGAGCAUAUUAGCGCUGUACCGACAGCUCAAUUAAUCAGGUAGUUGGCUGACAGAGAAUUAAAUGUCACAUUAAGCCCCUCAUGUUGGCUAAGGACACACCUUGAACUGUAAUAGACUUCUUUAAUUGAUAA